CCUUUUGCUUGCCUACGCAGCUCGAUUUCCACUCAUCGACAAACUCCCGGUUUAUCUGAGCCCACAACUCUGGGUAUCUGUUAUGUGCAGCUAUGGGAUCUUCACCUGAGUUAUCAUUGGAUUUAGGCUUAUUUGCUCAAUAUUACCUGAAUAGAGGGUAGCAUCAACAGGGAGGCCUUCACCAAAAUCAGCCAUCCAACCCCUGACUCCAUCAUCAACCAUUUCUUGUAGGAUGUUUUUGAACCAUGGUGCAGUUUCUGGAUGCGUCAAAUCCAACAUCCCUACAUCAAAGGCCGUAUUAGGAACCAUGGAAAUUACCUGAAGCCAGAAUGAAGAAAUCGGAACAUCAUAAGUCUUCAAAAUGUCCCAUGUAUUUCGUACAGUCUCAGUGCCUCCCUGCAUUCCGACAACGGCCCCUGAAAUAAUCCAAGGAGGAAGUUCAGGAGGUCUUCCUAUUGAUUGUGUGAAUGUCUCAAUGAUCUCAGUAGGAGAGUUCCCAUGCAAUAUUGCUCCUGCAAUUGAAUUUCCAUGUACCUAGCAAGGGUAAAACAAAUCAGAAGUGUAUGCUAAUGCAGCAGAAAUGAAACUUUUCCCAGAAAUGGUGGACCAAAUUGAUGUUUUAGGUUGAGAAAGAUGAGAAAUUGAUAAAUACCCACCAUUUUUGGAGCUCCAAAAAGCUUGAAAAUUGGUUCCAAUGGAGUAAAAAUGGUGACAAGGGAGUGAAGAAGGAUUGAAAAAGAGGUUACCUUGAAUAAGAGGCAGAGAUUUUGGGGUUGAUGGGAAAGGAUUAUUAAGGUGUUUAUGGUGUUUUUUUAUGGUUUUAAAAGUUGCCAUUUUUAGGAAUCAAUGUAUGAAAGAGAGAGAAUUUGAAGGGUGUACACUAAGACAGAUUUGAUGGGUUGAUUCCUACUUUUUAUUAUUUUGGUUUACUUUGAAUCUUAUGGAUAUUUAUAGAUUCUAAAAAGUACGCUAUGACCCUGAGGUGUAUGUGUAUCUACAUAUGUUGCAUGGAAACUUCUAUUUAAAAAAAUACUGGUAGAAAAUUGUUUAAUAUAAAAUAUAGAUAUAGUAUUUGUAAUUUAAGAACAUUCAUUAUACACCUGAAUGUAAAGUAACUAUCAGAACAACUAUGUACAUUGUACAUGCAGGUGCACUAUGUGCAUAGUAUAUCCACGACUAUUUUUUUUUUUUUUU